rnacentral:rRNA from 1 species
UGAUUCACCACUUAUUAAUUAUCCGCCUGGGUACUACUAGCGUAAGCUUAAAACCCAAAGGACUUGGCGGUGCCUUAGACCCACCUAGAGGAGCCUGUUCUAUAACUGAUACCCCCCGCUUAACCUCACCCCUUUUUGCCAUCCCCGCCUAUAUACCACCGUCGUCAGCUCACCCUUUGAAGGAUGCCUAGUGAGCAAGAUUGGUACAACCUAAAACGUCAGGUCGAGGUGUAGUGUAUAAAGGGGGAAGUAAUGGGCUACAUUCGCUUACGACCGAAUACGGAAGAUUGAUUGAAACAACACUCCAAAGGAGGAUUUAGCAGUAAGUGGAA